rnacentral:ncRNA from 1 species
CUCGCUGCUUGGGUUUUCCCGAGCAAUGUGCGGGGUAGUGUACAGUUGCACGGAAGGCUAGUAGAAAUGGGCCCAGUAAUUAGUAAUUCUUACUGAGAACUUGGCUAUAUCGGUGGACAGCCAGCUUAGCUGGCCAAUACCGAGGGAACCCUGAGUUUAUCGAAGGGACUCCGUAGAGACUAGACGCCGAGCUCCGCCGGGUGGCGGAUGAUGAUAUAGUCCUACCCUUGUAGUAAUACAAGA